rnacentral:rRNA from 1 species
AUUGAACGCUGGCGGAAUGCUUUACACAUGCAAGUCGAGCGGCAGCGCGGGGCAACCUGGCGGCGAGCGGCGAACGGGCGAGUAAUGCAUCGGAACGUACCCCGUCGUGGGGGAUAACUACCCGAAAGGGUAGCUAAUACCGCAUACGACCUGAGGUUGAAAGCGGGGGACCGAAAGGCCUCGCGCGAUGGGAGCGGCCGAUGCCGGAUUAGCUAGUUGGUAGGGUAAAGGCCUACCAAGGCGACGAUCCGUAGCUGGUCUGAGAGGACGACCAGCCACACUGGAACUGAGACACGGUCCAGACUCCUACGGGAGGCAGCAGUGGGGAAUUUUGGACAAUGGGCGAAAGCCUGAUCCAGCCAUUCCGCGUGAGUGAAGAAGGCCUCGGUU